CAGUCAGUCACUGCGCUCGUCAGCAUCUUUCCAGCUGCUGCGGGCAGCUGUUUUCAGCACAAAAGCUCUGAUAAACCUACCUACCCACUAUCUACGCUCUCUUCUCAGUUAUAUAUGGAGGAGCAUCGCAAUUUCACGUCAAAGUUCAAUCAGCUUGAACUCUGCAUGAAAGGUCAGCUCACGACGGGAAGUGAAUACUCAUCCUGUUCCUCAAUUAAUUGAAUGUGAAGCGAAAUCCGGUGUGACCGCAGCUUUAAAGGUACCACGUGGAGUCUUUUUAAAGAGCAGAUGUACAGUAUGUAUGUACAUCUAUUUGAAUGCACAGCAUGUUGAUGACCCGAUACACAGCUAGAAAACAUGGAUGUAAAGACUGCUGGUUCUAAAACUUGGCUUUUCAAAUAUGAGGAAGGACUUGCAUUCAACGUGUUUGUUACUAACUUUGUAACUUUGUAACUUUAUCUUUUUUUUAAUUGUAUGUGUUUGUAGUUUCUGGAGAAAAUCCUCACACCAUGGCUAUUUUUUGAAAUGUGAAAUGAAGUUGGUUGUACAUUAUUGUGUUAUUAAUGUAUUUAAUUUACACUAAUAAUGUAUAGGGUAUAUAGAAAGUAACAACAUCAACCUGCUACCAAAGAAUCCAGUUGAGCAGGAAGUUUGCAAAUUAUGCAGUCCUAAAUGUGUGUUGUUUUCUUUUGUAGAUCAAGUUUCUUCUGUACAUGAAAAACCUGUUAACACAUUACCAUGAUAAGUGAGGCAUUUCUACCCCCAUGUCAGCACUCCAGGUAAUUCAACGUGGUGCACCUGAACCAUAGUCUUUUUCUCACUGGAUCUAUUAAUAGCAGUUUGUUACAACUGGUUGCUUUUUAGUUCCUGAUAGUCUAGUUCGGCAUUUUGUGAAAUAUGUGUAUUCACUUUCUUGCCAAGUUUUAGAUGAGAUGUAUCAUGUUUUACAGUACCUCUAAAGCUCACAGAUUAACACGUUAUAUUUAAUUUGUUUGAUCUGUACAAACACCAAAGUGUAAAAUUGACAAUUUGGGGUUUAACGGGGGGUUAGAUUAAUGUUGGGGACUAUUUCUUGACUGGGAGCAGUAACUUCCUGGAAUCUUGUCAUCACUGUGAGGUUUGAGGCAACUAGCGGGGCUCCAGGAAAGUUGGAAGGCAGACUUUGUUACUGGGACAGAGCCAGGCUAGCUGUUAACCCGUUUCCACUCUUUAUGCUAGGCUAAUGCUAACUGGCUGCUUGCAGUAGCUUCAUAUUUAAUAGACAGAUAUGAGAGUGGUAUCAAUCUUCUCGUCUACUCUCAGGAAGAACGCAAAUAAGCAUAUUUCCCAAAAUGUCAAACUUUUGAACUUUAAAACUACUGAACCUGAAACAAUAGAAAUCAAACCAGCAAAUGACAGCUGAAAGCAGCUGAAAUGAAAUUCCAACUGAAAGUGAAACAAGUGGUCUUAAUAAAUGAAAAAAAACUCAAACAAAGACAUUAGAAAAAAUGCCACAUACUUACAAAUGUGUCUUAGGCCAAUGAAAUGAAGUGAAACCAAAAAAACAAAUACUCGCUUUAUAUUAUAAUUAUAUAAUAAUAAUAAUUAUUAUUAUUAUUAUUAUUAUUAUUAUAAGUUGUAAUGCAACUCUGACCUAUUGUGAAUCCAUCUUUUAUUAUUUAUGUGGAGCUAUUUAGCAGAGUUUCAGGAGCAGGACCGCACCUCAAUCACACCACUUCCAGCAUUCCCAUGAAUACCCACCUAAACCAUCUCCUCCUCCUCUUUCGCUCUUGUAUUCUGCGCCCAUCCCUCCCACGUCCCCCAUCCUUGCUAGUGAAUUAUCGGUUAUAUUUUUUAGACUAACUUCUUAACUUUUUCUGUUUCUCAGUUUUUGUUUUAUUUUCAUUUUGCUUGUUUUUGGUUCAUCUUUGCAAUUACAUCCGUGAGUUAUUUUUUCCAAAGUUCUACAGGAAAUUGAAAGGCAGGUUUUCCCACACACAGACACACACAGCAUGAGAUGUACUGACAUCAGAACACAACAGGAGAGAGACCAGGCUUUUAUUUUCAUUUGUUGUUUAUUGACGUAGAGUCAUUGUCAGAGUCGACGUCCUUGGAAAGUGUUGCAGUGGCCCUGAUGUACAAAUCACAUCUGUUGUCAAGUUAUUAAAUUUCAGUUUUCUAAAAUGUAAUGAAAAGUACAUUUAUACACUUUACAUUUGUGUAAAUAUUUUUCAUAUAGUGUGUGAUAUAUUUGGGUUGAAACACAAGGCACUUGGACACCUUUUGAAAUACUGAUUAGGAUAGAUCAAUGUGCAAACAAGAAUACAAGAUAAUUCAACACAGAUACUGGCCACAUGUGGCCAUUGUCAAACAUUCACCCUUCAAAAAUACUCGAGAGACAGUUUUUUAAAUCAUUGUUUGGCCAUUUCUUGUGUACCUUUUUUCUGUUUUCACAUUCAUAUGAAGCAAAUGUGUACUCAUUAUUGCCUAAUACACACCUUUGUCUACCUUGCUCCUACUUGACUGUUGUCCUCAGGUGGUCUUGUCUAAAUGGCAGGGCUGAUCGUGUCUAGAUCAUUGUCUUGGAAUGAUUAAUAGAGUAAGGAAUUAGCUAGGAUAAACAGCAAGCAAAGCAGUUAACCUCAAACCUACAUUCAGUUGCGUCAACACAGUUUUUCUUCGUCUUGCGACUUGAAAAAUCACAUGGUCAAACAGAAAGCUCUGUGUGGAUCAUAAUCUUUCGUCACACAUCGUAGUGUCGUAAGUGUCCCAAACUAAUCUGAGUCAAGGUCUCUCUGAGUUAAAACAAACAACAGAGCAGCUGACAGCCACACUGAAAUUACAAAUCAUGAUGCGUGGCAUUAGGCCUCAGGAGGUUCGGCUUUCCUCGAGGGGGCUGAAUAUUUUGUAUGCUGUAGACCUGAAAAUGAAGCAGGUAAAGGGGUCAUCUCAGGUGCACCUGUUGCACAUGACCACUAAUGUACCAGAUUAAAUCCACAGACACCUUCUUUAAGUUUAAGUAAGACAUCGAAGGGUUUAAUUCCAAAUCGCCUUAAAUCCAUUUUAUGACAAGGCGACAAAGACACAUAAUUAUCUUCUCUAUAAUUUGUAAACAGCUAAAACAGUAAAAUAACAAAAGAAAUGUGUUUUUAAUGUCAGCCAUCCUUUUAUCGAAGUUGAUGUUGAAUUUUUCAAAUGAUUGAUAUCUUAUUAAAAGAUUUAACCCUUUAAUUGCACAAACUUUGCCUGAAGGAAAAAUAUAGGUGGAUGUAACAAAGGUAGAUCUUAACGAUGUCUACAACGCGUAUUGUUCAAUGUUACAUUCAAUGAUUGUGUGUGGACUGUAUUUCUCAUUGCUCCCCAUAACCCUGCUUUUUCCCAUAUUUAUUUAUGAGUAAAAAUGGGUCUGUGGAAGCAGUGAGUGGGGGUUGUCAAACAUAAAAACUACAACAUGGUUAGUGCACCUGCUCUUCACCUGGCUGAGUAAAUUUAAUACAGGUGAUUGUCCACUGUAAAAUGUUUUUUGAUCAUGAAGUCAAGGUGUAGAUGAACAGGAUGGGUGAAUCAAGGAAUAUUAAAGGGUCAGUUCACCUAAAUCACACUUUUUUUUUUUCUUUUUUUUUUACUUUUUGUGGUAUCAAGCCAUGCAUAUAGAUGUGGUUUUGUGUCUCGAGAUUUUGAGAUACUCACUAAAACAUCUGU